GACGAACGCUGGCGGCGUGCUUAACACAUGCAAGUCGAACGGAAAGGCCCUGCUUUUGUGGGGUGCUCGAGUGGCGAACGGGUGAGUAACACGUGAGUAACCUGCCCUUGACUUUGGGAUAACUUCAGGAAACUGGGGCUAAUACCGGAUAGGAGCUCCUGCUGCAUGGUGGGGGUUGGAAAGUUUCGGCGGUUGGGGAUGGACUCGCGGCUUAUCAGCUUGUUGGUGGGGUAGUGGCUUACCAAGGCUUUGACGGGUAGCCGGCCUGAGAGGGUGACCGGCCACAUUGGGACUGAGAUACGGCCCAGAAUCCUACGGGAGGCAGCAGGGGGGAAUAUUGCACAAUGGGCGGAAGCCUGAUGCAGCAACGCCGCGUGCGGGAUGACGGCCUUCGGGUUGUAAACCGCUUUCGCCUGUGACGAAGCGUGAGUGACGGUAAUGGGUAAAGAAGCACCGGCUAACUACGUG
rnacentral:rRNA from 1 species